rnacentral:rRNA from 1 species
AGAGUUUGAUCCUGGCUCAGGACGAACGCUGGCGGCGUGCUUAACACAUGCAAGUCGAACGAGAGGACAAGAGGAACUUGCUUCUUUUGGAAUCGAGUGGCAAACGGGUGAGUAACACGUAAACAACCUGCCUUCAGGAUGGGGACAACAGACGGAAACGACUGCUAAUACCGAAUACGCUUGGGAGACCGCAUGAUCUUCCAAGGAAAGGGUGGCCUCUACCUGUAAGCUAUCGCCUGAAGAGGGGUUUGCGUCUGAUUAGGCAGUUGGUGAGGUAACGGCCCACCAAACCUACGAUCAGUAGCCGGUCUGAGAGGAUGAACGGCCACACUGGAACUGAGACACGGUCCAGACUCCUACGGGAGGCAGCAGUGGGGAAUCUUCCGCAAUGGGCGAAAGCCUGACGGAGCAGCGCCGCGUGAGUGAUGACGGCCUUCGGGUUGUAAAGCUCUGUGAUCGGGGACGAACGGUCCGUAAGCCAAUACCUUAUGGAAGUGACGGUACCCGAAUAGCAAGCCACGGCUAACUACGUGCCAGCAGCCGCGGUAAUACGUAGGUGGCAAGCGUUGUCCGGAAUUAUUGGGCGUAAAGCGCGCGCAGGCGGCUUUCUAAGUCCAUCUUAAAAGUGCGGGGCUUAACCCCGUGAUGGGAUGGAAACUGGAAAGCUGGAGUAUCGGAGAGGAAAGUGGAAUUCCUAGUGUAGCGGUGAAAUGCGUAGAGAUUAGGAAGAACACCGGUGGCGAAGGCGACUUUCUGGACGACAACUGACGCUGAGGCGCGAAAGCGUGGGGAGCAAACAGGAUUAGAUACCCUGGUAGUCCGCACGGUAAACGAUGGAUGCCCGCUGUUGGCCUGAAUAGGUCAGCGGCCAAGCGAAAGCAUUAAGCAUCCCACCUGGGGAGUACGCCGGCAACGGUGAAACUCAAUGGAAUUGACGGGGGCCCGCACAAGCGGAGGAACAUGUGGUUUAAUUCGAUGAUACGCGAGGAACCUUACCCGGGCUUGAAUUGCAGAGGAAGGAUUUGGAGACAAUGACGCCCUUCGGGGCCUCUGUGAAGGUGCUGCAUGGUUGUCGUCAGCUCGUGCCGUGAGGUGUCGGCUUAAGUGCCAUAACGAGCGCAACCCCUCUCCUUAGUUGCCAUCAGGUCAUGCUGGGCACUCUGGGGACACUGCCACCGUAAGGUGUGAGGAAGGUGGGGAUGACGUCAAAUCAGCACGGCCCUUACGUCCGGGGCUACACACGUGUUACAAUGGCAGGUACAGAGAGACGGUCCCUUGCAAAAGGGAUCAAAUCCUCAAAGCCUGUCUCAGUUCGGACUGGGGUCUGCAACCCGACCCCACGAAGCUGGAUUCGCUAGUAAUCGCGCAUCAGCCAUGGCGCGGUGAAUACGUUCCCGGGCCUUGUACACACCGCCCGUCAAGCCAUGAAAGCCGGGGGCGCCUAAAGUCCGUGACCGUAAGGAGCGGCCUAGGGCGAAACUGGUAAUUGGGGCUAAGUCGUAACAAGGUA